AAACAUAGUCAUUAGAAGAUAUUGAUGAUUAAACCUGCCCAAUGUUAGAAAUAAUUAAUGGCCGCGGUACCCUGACCGUGCUAAGGUAGCGUAAUCAGUUGGCUUUUAAAUGGAGUCAGGAAUGAAUGGGAAAACCGGGUUUAGCUGUCUCCGGAUUAUUAUAUUGAAUUUACUGUUCAAGUGAAAAAGCUUGAUAUUAAUAAAAAGACGAGAAGACCCUUAGAAUUUUUUUUAAAGUGGUUGUUUAUCACAAUAAUUUUGUUGGGGCGACAGAGAAAUAAUUAAAACUUUCUUUAAAUUACUAGCCGAUAUUUUUAAGUAAGAAUAAAUUACCUGAGGGAUAACAGCAUUAUUCUAUAAUUGAGUUUGUGACCUCGAUGUUGGACUAGGAAACUAACAGGCUAGCCGUUUGUUAUGUGGGUUCUGUUCGAACUAUAAUUCCU
rnacentral:rRNA from 1 species